GAAUGUGAGGGUGAUCUAACUGCGACAUCUAUCACCCCAUUGAUCGUCACAGUUGAUUUGGCUGAUCUGGCUGGCUAGGCAGGUAUCCCCUUCCUCCCUCAUCCCUCGGUGUUUGUCCCUCCUGAGCUCCCUCUGUGGAAGAGAACAACCACCCUGGAUAGAGAAGGACCCUUUCCUCGGUCCAGGGUAUAGGAAUAGCUGCACUCCCCUGCUAGAACCUCUGAACAAGUUCCCCAAAAGAAUAUCUGGGACACAGAAGGGGCUCUGUGUGAAUGUCUGCAGAUCAAUGGAUACAU
rnacentral:snRNA from 1 species